rnacentral:rRNA from 1 species
UACGUAGGGGGCAAGCGUUGUCCGGAAUCAUUGGGCGUAAAGCGCGUGUAGGCGGCUUGGUAAGUCCGCUCUGAAGGCCCGGGGCUCAACCCCGGGAGGCGGGUGGAUACUGUCAAGCUCGAGUCCGGAAGAGGCGAGUGGAAUUCCUGGUGUAGCGGUGAAAUGCGCAGAUAUCAGGAGGAACACCAAUGGCGAAGGCAGCUCGCUGGGACGUGACUGACGCUGAGACGCGAAAGCGUGGGGAGCAAACAGG